rnacentral:misc_RNA from 1 species
AUAGAGGAUGUGGUUUUGGUAUUUGCGUUUGUGAUGGGAAGUUCUCGUCGAACAUCCAGUACCGGAAAGUUUUAAAGUAUUUAUUAUAGUAUGAGCGUCCCGGACUAUUCCCAGAGUGCCGAAGACCACCAGUGUCUACUGGUGGUUGUAAAACUAAUUGGCACCCAGAUAAAGUCGAAGUCAUAUCACCGACUUUUUGAACGCAUUUCAAGACUCCAACAUGUACGUAUUCCGGGCCAACAGCGCAGUAUGUGGCUGCGUUAUAGGAAAUCAUACACUACCGAUAGCAAUGAAUGGGGUGAUUUCCAAGCACACCGAAAGGCUAUGGGUCUUGUGUGCCUUGGAAAGUGUACGUCAAAUUCUGAUGUGGAGGCCUUGACCAAAGAUUAUAAAGAGAUGAAGCGAUAUUACUCACAGACACUCUUUGACUCUCGAUGUCUCCUGUUUGGAGUAUCGGCUGAGGAAACAGACUCAGUUGACGACAAGGAUUCGGGUGUGGGAGUUGACAAGAAUGGCGUAGAGGAGUUGCUAUCACCAUCGUCUGAUGUUGUUGGUACCUGCCUUGAUCAACUUGACACCAAGAAUGAUAGCAUACAGGAUGAGAAACGUGGCAUGGUUAAUGAAGCUCGGCAAGAUUCCUGGAGUGGCGUGAUAGUCUACCCUAGUUCUGAACACUGUGGACAGUUGGAGGAACACCUGAAGGAAUUUGCAUGCUCACUCUUUUGGGUCUUGGAGUCUAAAGUCUUGGAUCGGACUUACGAAAAGUCAGACAAACUGCCACUGCUGAUGGCACCAUUUGAGAAAUCGGAAGGAGUGACAAUUGAUCAUGAAGGAAGAGCUUUUAAGAAGCGGUGCCAGGGAAGACUAAGGAAGCAGAUGGGUGACUUGAACUUGAUGGCAGGGUUACCCGGAGAAGCCAUUUCUCAUUACAAUGCAGCGAUUGAGAAUUUAAAGUCUGUGAAUGACUGGCUGUGGCUAGGAGGUGCAUUGGAAGGACUCUGCACUUCAUCUGCUGUCAUCCUGUAUCCUGAGCCGCAAAAAGCUGGCCAGCUGACACGCAACUCCUCUUUUGGUGGCAGUGGUGACCUGCUAAUGGCAGCGAGUCAGCACACCAGACGUAGAUCAGGAUUUCUCAAACCAAAUAAGAAAGCAGGUAGCUUUACAUCGUCAAGCCUUCCUAAUGGCAUAGACAGGUAUGAUUACAAAAUCAAGAACUGCCUCACCCCAGAAGAAGUCAUUGAAAAGUACAAGGAGGUUGUUCUGCACUAUAGCAAGUUUAAAGCAGCUGGUAUCAUCGAGACAGAAGCAAGCAUUAAAGCCACACGAAUUCUAAUUAUUCAACAGAAAAACUUGCUUGCCUCAGAGUUCCUCAAAAACGUGCUGUUCAUCAACCUGCAGCUUGCUGAUGAUGAGAAGAUUCAACGAUAUUGUGCAUUGUCUCAGCUUUAUAGCCAGAUAGGAAUGGAGAGAAAAGCAGCAUUCUUUAAGCGUGUUGCUGCAAUGCAAUGUGUCGCACCUCAUAAUCCUAACCCAGCAUGGGCACAGUGCUACCAUUUGCUGCUUGAGACGCUGAAGGGCUACAAGCUGUCGCUGGAUCCAAAGGAUGCACCUCGUGGCUGCUCGGUUGGCUGGCCUGUCAUACAGAUACGACUGCUGCACGAACUCGUCGUCACUGCCAAACGCAUGGGAAACACUGCCAUCGCCAUAAGGCACAUGCAGUUCCUUCUACAUCAAAUGAACCAGCACUUGACAGAUGACGAGAGAAAAGAGAUGGCAGUCAUGCUGGAGAGUUACACAGCCAAGGCCGAGGGAGGUCCUAUCCCUCUGGUAUUAGACAGUGGAAUUAUUCUGCCACCUGUGCCAUUCACUAGGCUCCCAAUUGUUAGGUCGUUCAAGCUGCAGAAUCUUGCACCACAUCUAAAACCUCACAGCAAGGCAAAGAAAAAUAUGCCAGCACCAAUAAACAAGAGCCCCUUCAUAUACUCUCCAAUUCAGUUUGGCAGCAUAGGCCGGAGCAAAUCAAAAAUAGAGUUUGAGUGGGCAGAGAGUGAUGUGUGUGAGGUGACUAUGCAGGUGUACAACACGAUGCCCUUUGAACUAAAAGUCGAUAAUAUGAGCUUAUUGUCGGAAGGAGGUCAACUGGAGACGUUCCCUUCCUCCCUCUCCUUGCCAGCGAACUCUGGUCCAUAUCCUGUCAACUUGCUGUCCUGUCCACAGGGAGCAGGAGAACUAAAGAUAAUAGGCUACUCUGCCACUGUGCUGGGUGUUAGAAGCCACUGUCGUCUACGUGAUCUACCACAAUUCAAGCAGCAGAAGCAUAUGGUUCAGGUUGCGCCGGCACUGCCGAAGCUCCAGGUGCAAACCUCUUUAGCCAAGUCGGCAACUUUCACCAGUCUGGCUGACUGUGGCAGCAUAGUAACCAGCGGCUCUAUAAGCUUGUAUGCUGGGGAGAGCCAAGACUGCACAUUGUCGCUUAGCAACAUUUCAAGGCAACCUAUCGAAUCUAUAGAGCUUUCCCUCGACUGCAAACUUAGUAAAAGGAAAGCAAGUAAAUUCUUCCAUUGGGACAAUUCACGUAUAAUGUCUGUACUACCUAUAGAGCCAGAGAAGAGUGCGGUUAUGAAUCUGUGUAUCACAGCUGUAUCUGACUUUCUGGCUAAAGAGAAGGUUCAAACUGAUGAAGAUGCCAGCAGGGGAGACCUAUCCAGAAAGAAUAGUUCGGUCAGUUUUUGUGGCCCUUGUGACACGUAUCCUACUAAGACGGUGGAGGCUAUCCUCAAAUUCGAGUACACAGGUGGAGCGGGCAUGGUCGGGCAGUACUACAGGGAGUGUUCUGUUUCCCUCCACGUUGAAGUCCUGCCAUCCCUGCUGUUCACAAAAUGGGACGUUCUGCCGGCAGAAAUACCCUGCAUGUGCUAUCUAGUAUUCGAUAUCCUCAACACAACCGACCAUGAAAUGGAGAUUUACUACAGUGACAGCAAGUGUGUGAUCAUUGAAGCAGACGAAACAAGCAGAAUCCCGUAUCAGGUCGAACGCUGCCCGCUGGCCAAGAUUCUGAAGCUGAUGAGCAAUGAUACAAGCAUCGACAGCAUCUGCAGGCAACACGUCGCCGACCUUGUCGACAUACGAUGGCAGUCUCCAACGCUAGAAACUGGUGGAGAAGCAUCCAUCGCAGACAUACCGUGGAGUGGUUCGAUGGUGGAUAUGAUUCGUAUGUCUCCGAUAGAAUGGGAGAUCUCGCUUAACGGCCAAGUAUGCAAAUCGACUGAAGAGAACAGCUACAGGGUUGGUCAGCCUGUGAUUCUCACUGUCUCCAUCAACGCUUAUACAGAGUUCUUUCAUGAUGACAUAACAUUGAACAUUCAGUGCUACCAGGACCACCAGAACGGAGUCCUAGAUUACAUGCCCAUGGACAAGUUUAGCAUCGUAGGCAGCAGGACACUACAGAUAAGUCAGCAUGGAGUCGUUUCGCUUCUAGCUGGCGAGCACUAGCGGGUUUCCUGCCCCAGCCUCCUUUCCAAGAGAUGGGCGCCGCGCAGCAUCAGAUAUCAAGGUUUGUUGAUCUAGACAAGAAGACGUCAAGCUACAGCAUUCGCUCGCGGCCACUGGGAAUCCCUGCCAGUGUGAUCAUCAAGUUACCUAGCACGCAUGCACGAUUUUGCGUUCUACGGAGUCAGUACAGCCGCACACACGUAUAUGCCAAGCCACCUGAAUGUAUUACAACGAAUAGGGGUACCAGCUAAUAAACUCGUGUGUAUUCUGAGAACAUGGUUUGAGGCUGUAAUUGCGUGUCUUGUCCGAGCAAGUA